UGCACGGCCGUAUGCAGCAGUUGAAGGAGCAACAUCUAUUUCUUCUUCUUUUUGUGCUACUUUGUCGUGGGUUUGCCUAGCUUCUUUGGUGGCACGGCGGCGGCGUGUGUCGGCAGGUUUUGUCGCACGUCUGAUGGAUUUUUCGUGAGGUUUGCCGAAGAUCUUUGGGGUACUUUUCUUCAUCAAAUAUUUUUGGAUGAUUUGUUGCUGCU